UUCAAAGCAAUUUGAGGAAGAGCUUUCAGAUCAAGUGUCCAAAUAGUGAACCCAUAGGUGAUCUACCACACAUCGGCAACUGUUGUGUAAUAACAUUACUUCUGGUAGGAUGAUACAGACCCUCCUCCAGGGUAAGAGAGCUCGUAGUUUGACAAACUCUCUGUAUGGAUUCACUGAUACUUGAGAGUGGUGGGGAGAGAAAAUGUGGAAAGUGUUCAAAAAAGAAGUUUGUUAAAUAUUUCCAACACUGAUCAAGAAUUUUAUUUCCUUUUUUAAAAACAAUAAAAACAAAGAGCUGCGCUCUAAGCAAAACUGAA